GUCCCUGAUUCUGAUCUAGAAGGCCUGGUUUCAAGUCCACCUGUUUCAUAGUAAUGUUAUAACACAUCUGAACAGGGCAACUCCUGGCUGGCAAACCUAACCAGGUACGUGGCUGGGAUUUAAGAAUGGCACAGUCUCUGGGAAUCAAAGGAGCUCCCGGCAAUGCGUUUCUCCAUUCACAGGUAAAGCAAGCCUUCGGACCACUGCCCACCUCUCCAUAACCUGAUCCAAUGAUUUCAAUCAGCUCCCAGUCAUGAGCAAGAAAAGUGAAGAAACUGACAAUGGUGAAGAAGAGGGACGUUAGGGUUUAUUGAUCAAGCUAACACCAGAACAGCCAGUUGGCUUUGUUGCAUUUGGCAGCGAGUGGGAGCAGAGGCAGCAAAGAAUGCUGCAUUCACUUAGUCUGCAUUUGCAGCCACCGCACUUCAUGCUCAGAUGCGCUGGUAUCCUCCAUCUGAAGCACCUCUGCAAGGACGGAAGUCUCGUCAGUUUUGUGAAGCAUUUAACAGCCCUUAUCCAAGAAAUCAGAUUUCUCUGCAGAGUGGUGUGCAAGGACUGACUGAAUUUUGUUAUCAGGUUGGACUUUACUGAAGGAGACUUUGGAGAACUGGUUCAUUUCCACUUGACCUGGAGGGGAUGGAGUGGUCACUAUGGACUGUGGAUUUAAGAAUUCUACUGGUGAUUUUUUUUUCCACAUGGGAAGAUUCUUCAAACUCUAAUUACUGUAAUGGACUAGUAUUUUUUCUUGUUAUAGUCAUUGUAUGCUGUGUGUGAAUAAUUUGCUUAAAUACUGGCUGUCAGAGUCUUACGAAAGCUGGUAGUGCCAUUGGUUAUGAUGCAAUGAUAAAAGGAGUUAGUGAGAAUGUGUACAGGGUAUAAGCAGACAGGGAAAUAGUUAAGUUCUGUGUUUUAUGAAACAAGAGGUUCAGCUGAGCAUGACCCACAUUAGAUAACAACUUACAGUUAACAAUAGGAUGCUCGAGGCAAGGGUAAUGUGUUAACAAGGUGGAAAAACAUUCAUUCUGUAUGUGACGUCAGUUAACAAGGUAAAAAGUAUUCACUAUAUGAAUUCAUUGUGUAACAGCAGAGGCUUAAUCUUUACUAUUGACAUUCGCUGAUUGUAAUGAUCACCCAAUCAAUAUGCAUGUUGCCUUAUCUAGAAGCUCCUCCUUGUAAAAUGACUACAUAGUUCAUUGAGAAACUGCUGUUCCAGAAAAGACAGUGAACUCAUGUCCCUGUGCACAUGGUGGAUUAUUU